AUUGAACGCUGGCGGCAUGCUUUACACAUGCAAGUCGAACGGUAACAGGGAGCUUGCUCCGCUGACGAGUGGCGAACGGGUGAGUAAUGCGUCGGAACGUGCCGAGUAGUGGGGGAUAACGCAUCGAAAGGUGUGCUAAUACCGCAUACGUACUGAGGUAGAAAGUGGGGGACCUUCGGGCCUCACGCUAUUCGAGCGGCCGACGUCUGAUUAGCUAGUUGGUGAGGUAAAGGCUCACCAAGGCGACGAUCAGUAGCGGGUCUGAGAGGAUGAUCCGCCACACGGGGACUGAGACACGGCCCAGAGUCCUACGGGAGGCAGCAGUGGGGAAUUUUGGACAAUGGGCGCAAGCCUGAUCCAGCCAUGCCGCGUGUCUGAAGAAGGCCUUCGGGUUGUAAAGGACUUUUGUCCGGGAGCAAAUGCUGGAGGCUAACAUCCACCGGAGCUGAGAGUACCGGAAGAAUAAGCACCGGCUAACUACGUGCCAGCCGCCGCGGUAAAAC
rnacentral:rRNA from 1 species